GGGGGGGGGGGGGGGGGGGCGUGGCGCAGGCAGGUCGGACGGCGGCACCGUGCGGGCUUGCUCUUACGGGUGGCGAGUGGCGGACGGGUGAGGAAUACAUCGGAAUCUACUUUUUCGUGGGGGAUAACGUAGGGAAACGUACGCUAAUACCGCAUACGACCUACGGGUGAAAGCAGGGGAUCUUCGGACCUUGCGCGAUUGCAUGAGCCGAUGUCGGCUUAGCUAGUUGGCGGGGUAACGGCCCACCAAGGCGACGAUCCGUAGCUGGUCUGAGAGGAUGAUCAGACACACUGGAACUGAGACACGGUCCAGACUCCUACGGGAGGCAGCAGUGGGGAAUAUUGGACAAUGGGCGCAAGCCUGAUCCAGCCAUACCGCGUGGGUGAAGAAGGCCUUCGGGUUGUAAAGCCCUUUUGUUGGGAAAGAAAAGCAGCAGGUUAAUACCCCGCUGUUCUGACGGUACCAAAAGAAUAAGCACCGGCUAACUUCGUG
rnacentral:rRNA from 1 species